rnacentral:rRNA from 1 species
AACGAACGCUGGCGGCAUGCCUAACACAUGCAAGUCGAACGAGACCUUCGUGACUAGUUGCGCUCGGGUGCGUCACGCGUGGGACCCUGCCCUUAGGUUCGGAAUACUUCCUCUAAAGGGGUGCUAAUACCGGAUAAUGUCCUCUGACCAAAGAUUGAUCGCCCUUGGAUGGGCCCGCGAUGGUCUAGCUAUUUGCUAGGGUAAAAGCCUACCAAGGCUACGUUCCAUAGCUGGUCUGAGAGGAUGAUCAGCCACACUGGGACUGAGACGCGGCCCGGAAUACUGCAGGAGGCAGGAGUGGGGGAUAUAGGACAACGGGCGAAGGCAUGAACGAGCAAUGCCGGGUGAGUGAUGAAGGCGGUAGAGUUGUAAAGCUCUUUUACCCGGGAUGAUAAUGACAGUACCGGAAGAAUAAGCACCGGCUAACUCCGUG